rnacentral:misc_RNA from 1 species
UAAUAAGUGUUUUAUGGCACUUUUUAAAUCCAUAUCCACCUUGCGUGCAAUGUCAGUCGAUCUUCUUCAUGGAGAUCGACCAAACAUCAACCUUUAUUUUUAACUCUUUGUCUGAAAAAUAUUAUGAAUAAACAAUUCAAAAUA